AAAAGCAUCUUACUACAAUAAUAUGACACUGAGGGAUGAGAGAGUAGGUUGCAAACUGGAUUAGAUACCCCGGUAGUCAACUCCGUCAACAAUGAUCAUGGUAAAGUAAAUAAAUAAAGCUUAUAGGAAGCUAACGCGAAAAUGGUCCGCAUGUUCAGUAAAUUCGAAAGAACGAAAGACAAAGAGCUAGGCGGCCUAGUAGAUCAAACUUUGGGUCAUGCUAUUUAAUUCAAUAACCCACGAUGAAUCUUACUUAAGCUUGAAUAUAGAGGAAAUAGAUGAGACAACCAGAAGGAAAGAGUCAACAGUAGUUGAAUGGAGUACAGGAUGGGAGUAGAAUGUAAUAGAAUCUAAGACAGGUGUUACAUAGUCGUUUGAAGUCCGUAUUGUAAGAUGUUAGGUUAAUUCCGUAAACGGACGACAUUCUUAUAUUUUAUGUAGAAUAGAUAAAAUAUGUGUGGGGGCUUAAUAGGCUUUCAAUUAAAAUGAAAACAGAUCCUUAUGACCCUAAUGCUUAAGGCUAUCAGUGUGACACAAAUAUGUAGACAAAGUCUAUGAACGUAAUGACAGAAAUGACAUAUGAGACGAAUAUGAUUCUGUAACUCAGAUAAUUGAAGUAGGAGUGUUCAGUAAUUGUUUAUAACUAUGUAACGGUGAAGUUUUCAUACUUAGUGCACUAAUCGCCCAUCACUAUUAUUCUAGAGGUCAAAACAAAAUCCUUAAGUUGUAUAUGAGAGAUAUAUAAGUUAAGGCUCAAUUUCAGGCUGAUAUAAUAAUUGAAGUUGUCACAUAGUCGGUGCACCUGAAGGUUUACUGGACAGAUAAAAAAU
rnacentral:ncRNA from 1 species